AUUGAACGCUGGCGGCAGGCUUAACACAUGCAAGUCGAGCGGAGUGAUGGUGCUUGCACUAUCACUUAGCGGCGGACGGGUGAGUAAUGCUUAGGAAUCUGCCUAUUAGUGGGGGACAACAUCUCGAAAGGGAUGCUAAUACCGCAUACGUCCUACGGGAGAAAGCAGGGGAUCACUUGUGACCUUGCGCUAAUAGAUGAGCCUAAGUCGGAUUAGCUAGUUGGUGGGGUAAAGGCCUACCAAGGCGACGAUCUGUAGCGGGUCUGAGAGGAUGAUCCGCCACACUGGGACUGAGACACGGCCCAGACUCCUACGGGAGGCAGCAGUGGGGAAUAUUGGACAAUGGGGGGAACCCUGAUCCAGCCAUGCCGCGUGUGUGAAGAAGGCCUUAUGGUUGUAAAGCACUUUAAGCGAGGAGGAGGCUCUUCUGGUUAAUACCCAGGAUGAGUGGACGUUACUCGCAGAAUAAGCACCGGCUAACUUCGUGCCAGCAGCCGCAGUAA
rnacentral:rRNA from 1 species